rnacentral:snRNA from 1 species
AUACUUCCCUGGCAGGGAGAUACCCUGAUCACGAAGGUGGUUUUCCCAGGGCGAGGCUCAUCCAUUGCCCUCCGGAUGUGCGGACCCCUGUGAUUUCCCCAAAUGUGGGAAACUCCACUGCAUCAUUUGUGGUAGUGGGGGACUGCAUUCACGCUCUCCCCUG